UUUUAAUCUCCACGAGAAUCAUCAAGGAUUCUGAGCAACAACUCUAUUAGACAUUGACUUGGAGGAUGAAGAUUGGCCUGAACUACUAACUGGCUUUUGGUAUCAUAACCCAGCACAUAUAUUUCGUCAACCAGAAAAAGAACAAAGAUCCAUGCCUGCCCCAACAACAAUGCACCAACCACCACCUGCAGCCAAGGAGAAACUUCUGUAACCUGGAACACUUGUCCUUUUCCAGAGAACUUUAAAAAAUAAAAACCUUCUCAAUUUCCUCCAAAAACUGAAUAAAAACUGACCAUCCCUUUGUCUCUUCA